rnacentral:piRNA from 1 species
UGGCUUAGGAAUGUUGGAAAGGAUGGGU